rnacentral:rRNA from 1 species
GGGGGCCCUAACACAUGCAAGUCGAACGGUAGCACAGAGAGCUUGCUCUCGGGUGACGAGUGGCGGACGGGUGAGUAAUGUCUGGGAAACUGCCUGAUGGAGGGGGAUAACUACUGGAAACGGUAGCUAAUACCGCAUAAUGUCGCAAGACCAAAGAGGGGGACCUUCGGGCCUCUUGCCAUCAGAUGUGCCCAGAUGGGAUUAGCUAGUAGGUGGGGUAACGGCUCACCUAGGCGACGAUCCCUAGCUGGUCUGAGAGGAUGACCAGCCACACUGGAACUGAGACACGGUCCAGACUCCUACGGGAAGCAACCAGUGGGGAAUAUUGCACAAUGGGCGCAAGCCUGAUGCAGCCAUGCCGCGUGUAUGAAGAAGGCCUUCGGGUUGUAAAGUACUUUCAGCGGGGAGGAAGGUGUUGUGGUUAAUAACCACAGCAAUUGACGUUACCCGCAGAAGAAGCACCGGCUAACUCCGUGCCAGCAGCCGCGGUAAUACGGAGGGUGCAAGCGUUAAUCGGAAUUACUGGGCGUAAAGCGCACGCAGGCGGUCUGUCAAGUCGGAUGUGAAAUCCCCGGGCUCAACCUGGGAACUGCAUUCGAAACUGGCAGGCUGGAGUCUUGUAGAGGGGGGUAGAAUUCCAGGUGUAGCGGUGAAAUGCGUAGAGAUCUGGAGGAAUACCGGUGGCGAAGGCGGCCCCCUGGACAAAGACUGACGCUCAGGUGCGAAAGCGUGGGGAGCAAACAGGAUUAGAUACCCUGGUAGUCCACGCCGUAAACGAUGUCGAUUUGGAGGUUGUGCCCUUGAGGCGUGGCUUCCGGAGCUAACGCGUUAAAUCGACCGCCUGGGGAGUACGGCCGCAAGGUUAAAACUCAAAUGAAUUGACGGGGGCCCGCACAAGCGGUGGAGCAUGUGGUUUAAUUCGAUGCAACGCGAAGAACCUUACCUGGUCUUGACAUCCACAGAACUUUCCAGAGAUGGAUUGGUGCCUUCGGGAACUGUGAGACAGGUGCUGCAUGGCUGUCGUCAGCUCGUGUUGUGAAAUGUUGGGUUAAGUCCCGCAACGAGCGCAACCCUUAUCCUUUGUUGCCAGCGGUUAGGCCGGGAACUCAAAGGAAAACUGCCAGUGAUAAACUGGGAGGAAGGUGGGGGAUGAACGUCAAGUCAUCAUGGCCCUUACGACCAGGGCUACACACGUGCUACAAUGGCGCAUACAAAGAGAAGCGACCUCGCGAGAGCAAGCGGACCUCAUAAAGUGCGUCGUAGUCCGGAUUGGAGUCUGCAACUCGACUCCAUGAAGUCGGAAUCGCUAGUAAUCGUAGAUCAGAAUGCUACGGUGAAUACGUUCCCGGGCCUUGUACACACCGCCCGUCACACCAUGGGAGUGGGUUGCAAAAGAAGUAGGUAGCUUAACCUUCGGGAGGGCGCCU